GCGCUGUCGGUCGUCGCCGGAGGUGCGGAGGAGGGGGCGCGGCGGAGGGGGGAGACCGGGUCCGGAUCGGGGCCGGAACGUUGUCAGAUACCUGGCGCCUCUUCCCUCUGCCUCCCCCAUCCGUGCGCUGUGUGUGUCAGCUUCUCCUUCCCCGCACGACCUCAAGCCUUAGUUUAUCGCCUUUCCUCUAGCGGACUUAUUCAGGUGCGUCACUAGCCUAUUUCCCUCGCCCUUGCCCUGUCCGAAUGAACCGUCGCCGAGCUCGCCUCCCCUGGUCGUUCACACCAGCCACUAGAGCAGCAGCGCACCCAUCUUCUUGUAUCCGGAUGCAGAAAUUUUGUCCGACAGCUCAGGAUAGCGAUAGAAGGAAACUGAGGCAUCGUUGACCCUAAAGAGCAUCCUGAGUGGUCCGAGAGAGUUCUGAACCCAGGCUGAGUUUUGCAGCUUCUUUUAAUUCUGCUCAACUGCUUCUUGUCAUUGAAAACCAUUUCCCAUCGCUGGGCUUGGCUAAGCAGAUAGAAGCAACAGGCCAGCUGCCAUUCCCUGAAGGUGCAGUGGAAGAUAAAGCAUCUCUAAGGACACAGUCACCCGAUACAAAGUUCUUGACAGCCAAGAGCCACCCGAUGUAUGCUGAAAAUUGCAGACGUGACCUGAAUCAGCAAGGCGCUGUACUAUCGUCGCUUUUGAGUUAUUUGCCUAGAGUGUCAGUUAUUUUCCUGUUGCUGGCGCCCACAAUAUAGAGAGAUUUUCUUCGGCUCCGUUUCCAGUGGCACCAAGGUGGGAAACUGCACAGCGGACAAUUGCUCAUCCCAUGGUGCCCAGGAAGCAGAGAGAGACGGGAGAAGCUGGGCAUCCGAAUUCACCCCUCAGGCUCACAGCCCAGGGACCCACCUUUUCUGAGUCGGCCCCACCUCCUAACCGCACCGUCAGCUACCGAUUCCUGGAUCUCUGAGCAGCGCAACGCCCUGUGAUCCAGUCACCCUUUCUAAUACUCCAGACCUUUGGGGACAUUUUACAUCUAGACCAUAAGGCUCAUGAAGAAGGCAAACACGCAUAACUCGUAAAAGAAGUCAUCUUAAUUAGGGCCUCGAGGCUAAAUAGAGCCUUUUGAAAGCCCAGCAGUUAGAAAUGAAUUAUGUGGUCUUAAGAUUUAAGAUCUCUGCUAUUGUAGUUGGCUUCAGCUGCCAUAACAAACUAUCAAAGACUGGGUGGGUUAAACCCCAGAAUUUCAUUUUCUCAGCUUCUGGGUCGAGAAGUCCCACGUCAGAGUCUCACAGGGUCAGUUGCCUGUGAGGGUUCUUUCCCUGCCUACAGACAGCUGCCUUCUCACGGUGUUGGGGUGGAGGCUUGUCCCUUCUAGCGUCCUCUCCUCCUUACAAGGGCACCGGUUCAGCUGCAUGAGAGAGCCACGCUCCCGCUGUAUUUAACUCUUGUCGCCUUCUCACAGGCCCCAUCUCCGGAAUCUUAAGACAUGAGGGACGAACACUUCAGCAGAUGAAUUUCCGAAGGGACACGAUUCAGUCCGUGGCACCCUUUAAUUAUGUUUCCGUUGCAUUUGAAGAAGCCUGCGAAGAAAAUCCUAUAAGAAAAGGAAAAGGAAACUGCCUUUCAGUGCACCUUUGUGACAUAUUCUGACAGCAUAAGAUUUUAAAACUACCUUAGUCCUCUUAACAUCGUGUGUUUGUAAAAUUAUUUUCUUUGCUUUUCUGCUAGUCCAUCGGUUCAGCCCAUCAGAAGUCAGUGGAGCAGCGUGUUCCAUUAUCAGUGCACAAAACCACAGGAUUAAUGAAUAUUCUAGCAAGAGCAAUCACAUUUAUUAAUAUCCCCAUAGAACUGCGGCCUAAAACAAUAAACAACCCAAUAAUUUUGUAUCCAUUAAUUAAAUAAGUAAAUCUCCCCAUCUACAGUUUCUAACAUACUGCAAAUUCCCUGAUGAUAAAAGAGGAAAGAGAGGAAAAGAAACAUUCGAUUUUCAAAAAAAAAGAUAACUUUGGAAAGAGAAUGAAUCCAAAAAUGUGUAAACAAAUAAUUUACAUUACUUGGCAGCUCCGAAUUCUGGUGAACCGCAUGCAGAGUUAAUAAGCCCAGUUGAUUCCACUGUGGUGGUAGUGGUGCUGGAAAGGCCAGCAGACACCCAAGAAGAUGGUAGGAAAAGGAAAAUGUUGUUUCCAUUCUUUCAGUGAAUAUAAUCAAAGAUACCACUUUUUUUUUUUUUGGCCAGUGCUAGCUAGGCCCUUUUCAAAAGCAAUCUCAUUUAAUUAUCUCACUAACUCUUUCAGAUGAAGAAAUCUGAUCAAAGGGAGAGAGGAGAGAAGAAGAGGAGGGAGGCCAAAAGAGUGAAUGAGAGAGAGAAAGAGGCAAAACCUUGACCACAGCAAUACAGGCCAUCAUCACUGGGAGAACAGUUUCGGAUGCCGAGAGAUCUGACUUCAGAGCCUCUGUGUUUAUCACACACGGACUGCUGUCUACACCUACAGUUACUUGUUUAAUCUUGGUAUCAUUUCUCAGAGAGUAGGAUCCUAGAGGCGAAGGCCGUGUCUGUCCUGUUGAUCCUCCGGCCCCUUCUGCUCUCUGGCGUCUUCCCUGUGGCCUCCAUUGGAAGCAGGGCCUGUCCUACAACGUGGGCUGCCCAUUUGGUGCAGUCUGCUGUGAGUUUAUUCCUUUCUCUUCGGCCAGGCCUCGGAUGCCUGGCCUGUUUACAUCCCACCUGGUCUCCUCCUUUCCCAGUUCCCUCCAGACUGUGUUCCACGCAGCACUCACAGUGCCGUUUCUCAGUGUAAACCGCAUCAUUUCGACCUUAGACGAAAAUCCUGACCCUGACCUUAUGAGCCCGAUUUACAAACCCUGCCCUCAUCUGUCCUGCUCUGGUCUCAGGCCUCCUCUCCCUACUUUGAGGCUUGAUCUACCUGCAAGGUCCUCCCGUCACUCUCAGCUCAGUUCCACCUUUGAGGCUUUGCCCAAGCUGGUUCCUUCCUUUGCUACUGUAUUGUUUAAUUGUUCCAGAGAAAUACAUGGCCAAGGAAGCGCAUAUGUGGGUGUUCGUUGUAGCAUGGUGUGUGGAAAAACUGAAAACAACCUCAUACCCUGUGUCAGUAAAAAGGACCUAUAGCCUGUGGUACAGAUUCUCUGUGCUUUGGAAUAUUAUGCAGCAGUGAAAAGGAUUGAUCCGCACUACUGGAGUGUAAGCUGGCACACACCCUAAGACUGCAAUUU